rnacentral:rRNA from 1 species
UACGUAGGUGACAAGCGUUGUCCGGAUUUACUGGGCGUAAAGGGCGCGUAGGCGGUCAGCACAAGUCAGUUGUGAAAUCUCCGGGCUUAACUCGGAAAGGUCAACUGAUACUGUGCGACUAGAGUGCAGAAGGGGCAACUGGAAUUCUCGGUGUAGCGGUGAAAUGCGUAGAUAUCGAGAGGAACACCUGCGGCGAAGGCGGGUUGCUGGGCUGACACUGACGCUGAUGCGCGAAAGCCAGGGAGCGAACGGG